GGCACCCAGAGUCGGUCCUGUAGCUGGGCCGGCUUGGGGCUUGGUUCUAUGUCCCUGUGGGUCGGUGCAAGGGCCAAGAGGAACCCGUAGGCCUCAGGGAAUCCCAGGGGGCCGGACCAGUGUUCCCUAGUUGUGGAAGCAGACGCAUGGGCGAAUCGCGGGAGGGCAGGGCCUGAAGAGCAGCUAUGUUUCCAGUGUCCUCUGGGUGUUUCCAAGAGCAACAAGAAACGAAUAAAUAUCUGCCAUAGGAGUUUUAGCCAAUUCAGAGGCCUUGCUCCCCACAAUUUGGAACAUUCCUUUGGAUUUGACCAAGUCAGGAAGAGAUGGGAGAAAAGUGAAACAACAACAAUAAAACCCCAAGCAUAAACAA